CGUCUGGAGGAUGAUGAGGUGAUCGCGUACAUGCUGUGAGGACUGGUAUUCGAGUAUGAUCCUCUUGUGACCAGCCUGACUACACGUACCGAUGCAGUCAUCCUCAACGAUGUGUAUGCCCAUAUGCUCAGCUAUGAGC